UUUGUUGUGGAUGCACUGGGAGAUGCACUGGAGUUGUCCCUUGUCUCUUCAUUUGGGGAAACUUCAACUAUUUUUCAUCAAGCUUUUGACGAAUUUGAGGAUGUUUCAAAGCAUAAGCAACACAACCAAAGAUUCGUAAAUGACUUACAGAUGGUUUUCUUCCAUGUUAUGCUUCAUAAGGAGUUCGAUUCAUAACCGCCUUUGUUGGUAAGAUGUUUAAUAGAUAAACAGAUGUUGCUACGGCUUCUGCCCAAAAUUGGUUUGGAAGUCUCCUUGCUUGUAACAUACUUCUUGCCAUCUCCACAGUAGUUCGAUUUUUUCGUUCAGCGAUUCCAUUUUGUUAUGGAGUGUAGAGAGCUGUUAAUUCCCUUUGGAUGCCCUCUUCUUCACAAAAGAGAUUGAACUCUUUAGAUAUGAACUCACCACCUCUGUCUGUGCGAAGAACUUUAAUGUGACAGCCACUUUGGUUCUC